GUGAAUCAUCAAAUUUUUGAACGCAAAUUACACUCUCCUCGGAGAGUAUGCCUGUUUGAGGGUCAGCCUAUAAAAAAUCGACAUCGUUGCUGUUUCGCGGUGACAUUCGUCGGAAAUUGGGUCAUUUUAAAUCUUUUUGGUUUUAAGCGACUAAAAAUUUUUUUUUGGUUCCCAUAAAGGUUUCUAAGAUUUAUUCCUAUACAC
rnacentral:misc_RNA from 1 species